AUGCCCUAGUGUCAUGGAAUUGAGGAAUAAACAUGCAUAAACUAAACAGAAGCAUAAAUGGUAAAAUAUAAAAUAUAAAGUUGCGUUAGUGUUGCUGGUCUCAAGAUUUCAGGUCUCUCUCAUCUCCUGGUGCUGAAAAAUGUGAGCCUUUGUUGUCCCUGGACUGGGAAUGUGGUAGGCCCAAUCUGGCAAUGAUACUGUUAGAGUGUCCCAGUGUUGUGAGCAAGGCAGGUCCUCCACUGGGGCCAGAGAUCUUGUAUGGUUUAUCUUCUUUGGUAACCCACAACAACCUGGGGGUUGACUAUUGCUAGUUAAAAGCUUCAGUCUGGAGGAGGUUGGUGAUAUGCUGCAUACACUUGCACCAAAGUAAUGUGGCUCUA